AUUGAACGCUGGCGGCAUGCCUUACACAUGCAAGUCGAACGGCAGCACGGGUGCUUGCACCUGGCGGCGAGUGGCGAACGGGUGAGUAAUACAUCGGAACGUACCUUAUCGUGGGGGAUAACGCAGCGAAAGUUACGCUAAUACCGCAUACGCCCUGAGGGGGAAAGCGGGGGACCGUAAGGCCUCGCGCGAUUAGAGCGGCCGAUGUCUGAUUAGCUUGUUGGUGAGGUAAAAGCUCACCAAGGCGAUGAUCAGUAGCUGGUCUGAGAGGACGAUCAGCCACACUGGGACUGAGACACGGCCCAGACUCCUACGGGAGGCAGCAGUGGGGAAUUUUGGACAAUGGGGGCAACCCUGAUCCAGCAAUGCCGCGUGAGUGAAGAAGGCCUUCGGGUUGUAAAGCUCUUUUGUCAGGGAAGAAACAGCAGCUCUAACACAGUCUGCGAAUGACGGUACCUGAAGAAUAAGCACCGGCUAACUACGUGCCAGCCGCCGCGGUAA
rnacentral:rRNA from 1 species